UUUAACAUCAGCUGUUACAGUAAAUACUGUGCAGACAGACAAGCGUGAUAGUAAUGCUGCAAAUGAUAAUUGUAACAUUCACAUUUCCAACAUUUGUUGGACUGCGAUUGUUUUCUAAAUCACUGGCUUUGUCUUUUGUUUUUUUCCUGCGAUUCCAGGAAAUGGUCCAUUUUUCCCCGAGUCUUAAGUUGACAUUUAAAUAGCACUUUUUGGAUUAAUAUUUAUUUUGUGUAUCGUCACCUGGAGCUAAAAACUCUCAAAAAAGGUUGAUUAAUUAAUCAGGAAAAAAAGCUUCCCAAAACAUAUAAUAUUGCUGCUUUUAUACCUCAACUAAAGGAAAACAUUUGGUGGGUGAAAAAAAGCAAAUUGAGGUUGACAAACCAACAAAAGUGAGAGGGAAACAUUCCUCAUCAAAACUUUCGGCUUCAGCUAUAAAAACAUGUUUACCUACAGGUUUACAAGCACUGAUCUACUUGUGAUUUGAUGUUCUUCUGCUGCCUCAGGCAGCGGUAGGAUCAAAAACACGCCGUACCAUCCUCAGCGGCGCUAUGUUGGCCUUGGCACUGAAGUAGUGGUUGAAGAGCUCGGAGCCCUCCCUCCAUUUCUUACUCCAUGCUUCUCUCUCAUGUCACGUCACGUCAGGCUUUUAGAAAGUUUAAGCCUUGAUGAUGCUCUGCAGGUUUCCCCUGAAGGCAAGGUGGAUAGCGAGAGGCUCCUUGUUAUUAAGACAACAUUGAGAAACAAGACCAAAUGCUUCACUCAAAGCAACACAGGCGCCGCGCAAUCUGAAUGAAAGGGAUCCCGUGAGGAAGAGAACAGCAGUAUGAAAACAUUGGUGAGAGGUUCAAGCAGGAAAAUCAUGAUGAUGAAACCCCGACUGGAAAACUGUGUCAGCCAUCAGCCAUCGGACAGGAAGAAACACACCAAGCACUUGUAUUAAGUUCAGACAGACUAGGAAAGGAAGAAGCUGCGCACCAGAAGCCCAACAGAUCCAGAAUCACCUCCUGCCUCUUCUUCAGACUCUCCAGAAAUCUGGGCCUUGAUGAGCCCAAUUUAACACUCCAAACUUUCCACCCCUGCUUGCACAGUUCAACUGAAACACAGCAGGUUGAGACUGAGGAUAGCAGCUUCCAGAGUAACCUGUUUGUCAAGGCCCUAAGCUCUUAA
ensembl:lncRNA